UCCCUGGCAGUCCAGUAGUUAGGACUUGGCGCUUUUACUGCUAUGGCCCAGGUCCGAUCCCUGGUUAGGGAA
rfam:Ovis aries breed Texel chromosome 11, whole genome shotgun sequence.